UACGUAGGGUGCAAGCGUUUGUCCGGAAUUAUUGGGCGUAAAGAGCUCGUAGGCGGUUCGUCACGUCGGCUGUGAAAACCUGAGGCUCAACCUCAGGCCUGCAGUCGAUACGGGCGGACUUGAGUACUGCAGGGGAGACUGGAAUUCCUGGUGUAGCGGUGAAAUGCGCAGAUAUCAGGAGGAACACCGGUGGCGAAGGCGGGUCUCUGGGCCGAUACUGACGCUGGAGACGCGAAAGCGUGGGGAGCGAACAGG
rnacentral:rRNA from 1 species